AACGAACGCUGGCGGCAUGCCUAACACAUGCAAGUCGAACGAGACCUUCGGGUCUAGUGGCGCACGGGUGCGUAACGCGUGGGAACCUGCCUUUAGGUUCGGAAUAACUCAGAGAAAUUUGAGCUAAUACCGGAUGAUGUCUUCGGACCAAAGAUUUAUCGCCUUUAGAUGGGCCCGCGUUGGAUUAGCUAGUUGGUGGGGUAAAGGCCUACCAAGGCGACGAUCCAGCUGGUCUGAGAGGAUGAUCAGCCACACUGGGACUGAGACACGGCCCAGACUCCUACGGGAGGCAGCAGUGGGGAAUAUUGGACAAUGGGCGAAAGCCUGAUCCAGCAAUGCCGCGUGAGUGAUGAAGGCCUUAGGGUUGUAAAGCUCUUUUACCCGAGAUGAUAAUGACAGUAUCGGGAGAAUAAGCUCCGGCUAACUCCGUG
rnacentral:rRNA from 1 species